AGGAGCAAACUUUUGAACAGGUCGUGCUUGAAUGGGGAAAAGUGGCAGUGGCGCCUCUGGUUGCCUUACUUAUUCACUUGAUCAGCAGUUUUUUGUGGUUUGGCUUCUAGAAGGAACAUUUCUACUGUUUGAAUACCUUUUCUGAUGUGGAUAUCAACUGAAACUGGCACCUAUGGAUUUUUAAAAGGCUUGCUUUGUUCAAGUGAAUGAGUUACCUAUUGACCGGACCUGUCAUUUUCUUUCACUCUGCCAUCAUCUUGUCUGUGUACCAAUAGAACUAUAGUAUACAAAUAAACUAGUAGAGUAUUUGUUUUAA